rnacentral:rRNA from 1 species
UACAGAGGUCCCGAGCGUUGUUCGGAUUCACUGGGCGUAAAGGGUGCGUAGGUGGCAGGGUAAGUCGGAUGUGAAAGCUCGGAGCUCAACUCCGAAAUGGCAUUGGAAACUACCCAGCUGCGAGGGUUGGAGGGGGACUGGAAGCUGCUUGGUGUAGCGAGUGAAAUGCGUAGAUAUCAAGCGGAACACCAGUGGCGAAGGCGAGUCCCUGGACAACUCCUGACACUGAGGCACGAAAGCUAGGGGAGCAAACAGG